GGAACUGUAGGCAAACUGGAAAAGCCGCCUGACUUAGGAUCAGGUGUUUGCGAGUUCGACUCUCGCCAGUUCUA
rnacentral:tRNA from 4 species